AAAAAGAGAUGAGAAGAUGAGUAACGUUCUUAACUGUCUAAGAGAACCGCGGUUGGUGUGAAGCGGUACGGGGCGAACGUGAAGAUGGUCUUCAACUAAACGGAUGGACGAGCGCAAGUAAGUUCAUCAUGGGUGUGCCCAUUACAGCGCUGAGGUAUCAACAGGUACCCAAUGAGGAAGUGGAUGAAAGUCCGCUUCGAACUAAGGUGGUAACACGAGCAAUCGUCCUUAUU
rnacentral:ncRNA from 1 species